AAAUGUUAAUAUGGUUAUAGAUGUUGAGUUGGUGAAGGAAGAGAGCUUUCUUCGGUCCACUCAUGGAGUAAUAUGUGAGAUUUAAUUGACUCUCGACUCAUUCAUCCAAAUACCAAAUGAAAGAACAUGUUCUCAUAUGGUAAAUGAAUGAAUGAUGCGAGAGACAAAUUGAGUCUUCACUUCUCUAUGCUUGGACUGAAGGGAGCUCCCUAUUUUUAUUUUUUCUCGGUCGUACACAUUUCAUUU
rnacentral:pre_miRNA from 1 species